CUACGGGGCGCUGCAGUGGGGAAUAUUGGACAAUGGGCGCAAGCCUGAUCCAGCAAUGCCGCGUGAGUGAAGACGGCCUUAGGGUUGUAAAACUCUUUCGCUAGGGAAGAUAAUGACUGUACCUAGUAAAGAAGUCCCGGCUAACUCCGUGCCAGCAGCCGCGGUAAUACGGAGGGGACUAGCGUUGUUCGGAAUUACUGGGCGUAAAGAGUUCGUAGGCGGACUGACAAGUUAGAGGUGAAAUCCCAGGGCUCAACCCUGGAGCUGCCUUUAAAACUGUCAGUCUAGAGCCCGGAAGAGGUUAGGGGAAUACCUAGUGUAGAGGUGAAAUUCGUAGAUAUUAGGUGGAACACCAGUGGCGAAGGCGCCUAACUGGUCCGGUACUGACGCUGAGGAACGAAAGCGUGGGGAGCAAACAGGAUUAGAUACCCGUGUAGUC
rnacentral:rRNA from 1 species